rnacentral:rRNA from 1 species
UACGAAGGGGGGCUAGCGUUGCUCGGAAUCACUGGGCGUAAAGCGCACGUAGGCGGAUUGCUAAGUCAGGGGUGAAAUCCUGGAGCUCAACUCCAGAACUGCCUUUGAUACUGGCGACCUUGAGUCCGGGAGAGGUGAGUGGAAUUCCUGGUGUAGCGGUGGAAUGCGCAGAUAUCAGGAGGAACACCAAUAGCGAAGGCAGCUCGCUGGGACGGUACUGACGCUAAGGCGCGAAAGCGUGGGGAGCGAACAGG